rnacentral:rRNA from 1 species
AAUGAACGCUGGCGGCGUGCCUAACACAUGCAAGUCGUACGAGAAAGGGGCUUCGGCCCUGAGUAGAGUGGCGCACGGGUGAGUAACGCGUGGGUAAUCUACCCUUGGAUUUGGGAUAACUUCGCGAAAGCGGAGCUAAUACCGGAUAGUCUGGCUUUAAUUAAGAAGUCGGUAAAGGAUGCCUCUGCAUAUGCAUUCGUCCGAGGAUGAGCCCGCGUCUCAUUAGCUAGUUGGUAGGGUAAUGGCCUACCAAGGCAACGAUGAGUAGCUGGUCUGAGAGGAUGAUCAGCCACACUGGAACUGAAACACGGUCCAGACUCCUACGGGAGGCAGCAGUGGGGAAUAUUGCGCAAUGGGCGAAAGCCUGACGCAGCAACGCCGUGUGAGGGAUGAAGGCUUUCGGGUCGUAAACCUCUGUCGGAAGGGAAGAACGGGCAUUGGUCUAAUAGGCCUUUGUUUUGACGGUACCUUUAGAGGAAGCACCGGCUAACUCCGUGCCAGCAGCCGCGGUAAUACGGAGGGUGCAAGCGUUAUUCGGAUUACUGG